CAGGACAAGAUCCUUUAUUAACCUGGGGAAGAGGUUAUGCUUGUGUUUCCACAGGUCACGGCUCCCGAUGGUUACCGGCAAGGUGUGUGCGACCACACCUGAGGCGUGAGAGGCAGC